GGUCUCCCCUCUGCCGAUGAGUUCGAUUUUAUACAGUUUUUCGGUCAACUGAGGCCCCUGAUAUGUUUUUCUACAGGGAUACGGCCAAAACAACCCAAAAACUGACCAAAACUGGUUAGGCUAAGGCGAACCACCACUGUGGGAGGCGACGGCGUGCCAGGACCCCAAAAUUGACUGGAACAAGUUUUGGACACCGAUUUUGGAUUCAUAUG
rnacentral:lncRNA from 1 species